GAUUGAUACAUGCCCUAUAUGAUAACUUCUCCUGAAAGUAAAACAGGAGUUUAAUACUUGUAUUCCUACUUCUGUGGUUUGCAAGUUUGGCUCUUCUGUCACAUUU
rfam:Morus notabilis contig1598, whole genome shotgun sequence.